UGUUUGCAUUUGGAUAGUCUGACCUGUCCAAGUUCAACUUUUUAUCAUCUGUAAUUCUUAACACUCCUUUAACCUCCUCACCUUAUUAUCUCUAAUAUUUCAAUCAUCCACGAACGAUUUCGUAACCCUGCGAAGAGUCUCUUCAUGCUUAGAUCCUUGUUUUGAACCUUUCUGUUUAGAUUAUAGGUUCGAAAGUAAAAUAACUUCCACCAUGAAUGUUUGUAUAAACUUGUUUUGAAAAUAUUUUAAUAUGGAGUUUUAAAUCAAGAUUUAAGCAACGAUUUAAAAGCAUACAUGUUAACUUUAUAAUGGAUUCCAGCUUUUCCCAAAUCGUUUGCGAUCCUCAGAUUCAACAAAAACGCCACGCCGCUUUUCAAGAAAAACGUGCCCGUUUUGAGCUCUUGUCCUCUCAUUUGUUUUCAACAUUGUCUCACACCUCUGUGGGACAAAACAAGCGAAAACAAGUAGCUGGUCACCUGAAGACGUGGAUUGAAAAGGCGUCGUGGUCGCAAUGUGACACAUGUAUUUGCUUGUCUCCUCAAAUUCUUAAACCAAGCUUUGCGAAACGAAUUGUUGCAACCAGGCCUACUUGCAAUUACUGCCCGAACGCUGCUCCAAAAUUAUCUGCAUGGCCAGGUUUUAAGUGGUGCUUGACUGAGUGAGUGCUUGACAGGUUUUAACAAAAAGGAACACAAGAUUUUGUCACCAUUUACCAUCGACUGUGGCCCCUAUUCCAAGAAAAAACACGGGUACCGUGUCAAAACAGGGGGAUUCCGGAUUAUUGUAAAGUCGGCAGGAGUUUCACAAUCCAUUUCGAGUCUUCCGGAUAAUCCCUUAAAGCUACGACUGCAAAUGGCAUACGAGCAUCUCUACACCUGCGCACAUAGUUCCUACAAAAAGUACGUUGACCAUGCCAACACUUUGGAAAGCGAAACCCGUAUUCAAUUCUUUGAUCUGUUUCACAUGCACAGGGAAUUGA